ACUCAAAUGAAUAGACGGGGGCCCGCACAAGCGGCGGAGCAUGUGGCUUAAUUCGACGCAACGCGAAGAACCUUACCAAGGCUUGACAUACACCGGAAACCUCUGGAGACAGGGGCCCCCUUGUGGUCGGUGUACAGGUGGUGCAUGGCUGUCGUCAGCUCGUGUCGUGAGAUGUUGGGUUAAGUCCCGCAACGAGCGCAACCCUUGUUCUGUGUUGCCAGCAUGCCUUUCGGGGUGAUGGGGACUCACAGGAGACUGCCGGGGUCAACUCGGAGGAAGGUGGGGACGACGUCAAGUCAUCAUGCCCCUUAUGUCUUGGGCUGCACACGUGCUACAAUGGCCGGUACAAUGAGCUGCGAAGCCGUGAGGUGGAGCGAAUCUCAAAAAGCCGGUCUCAGUUCGGAUUGGGGUCUGCAACUCGACCCCAUGAAGUCGGAGUCGCUAGUAAUCGCAGAUCAGCAUUGCUGCGGUGAAUACGUUCCCGGGCCUUGCACACACCGCCCGU
rnacentral:rRNA from 1 species